UACGGGGGGGGCAAGCGUUGUUCGGAAUUACUGGACGUAAAGGGCUCGUAGGCGGCCAACUAAGUCGGAUGUGAAAUCCCCAGGCUUAACCUGGGAACUGCAUCCGAUACUGGAUGGCUUGAAUCCGGGAGAGGGAUGCAGAAUUCCAGGUGUAGCGGUGAAAUGCGUAGAUAUCUGGAGGAAUACCGGUGGCGAAGGCGGCAUCCUGGACCGGCAUUGACGCUGAGUGAGCGAAAGCCAGGGGAGCAAACGGG
rnacentral:rRNA from 1 species